GACAGAGGUGCCAAGCGUUAGGCGGAAUCACUGGGCUUAAAGCGUGUGUAGGCGGGCGGGCAAGUACCUUGUGAAAUCCCACGGCUCAACCGUGGAACUGCUGGGUAUACUGCCUGUCUUGAGCCAGUCAGGGGCAGUCGGAACAGACGGUGGAGCGGUGAAAUGCGUAGAGAUUAGGAAGAACACCAGUGGCGAAGGCGAUUCUCUGGACCGUAACUGACGCUGAGGCAUGAAAGCGUGGGUAGCAAACAGG
rnacentral:rRNA from 1 species